GACAGCAUGCUUCAAAUGAGAGUCUUUGGCCCAUCAGUGCUGCAGCCAAUGGUACUGGAUAGAGCUGACAUUUAAUUGGAAUCUCACUGGAUAAGGAAUGCACAGGAAAACGAGGUUUGAAGUGGUGCUGCUGCUCGGUGAUGCACUCGUGGCUGGCUGACGUCUGGGUGCGUCUGCUCCUCUCGCCACCUGCAGUAAGGACGAGCACAUUCCUCACGUUUCUCUGGCACUGCGUGGUGGCGUGCGAAUGACUUCCGGCUGCAGAAGGGGAAGGGGACGACGCAUGGGCUCUACAGACAGGUGAGGACUUCCACUUUCCACGUCCCCGCUGGAUUUUGCCAUGCAUGUCCUUCUUGGAGAAGAGGAUUUGGAGGAUGCGGCUUCCAUGACCCAGACCCUGACAUGUUCUUGGGACACCCCAAGCCUCAGUACAGAUCAGCAACACUUCCCACAGCUCAGUGGCAGGUGGACCCCACGCCGUGGCUUCCCUGGAGACCAGUCUGUGUGGCUACUGCAUCCUGGGGACAGUGUUCUGCUCUUCCUGCCUGGGGUCCUGAUGUUCACUUCAGAAAUGAUCCCGUUGUCACCAUUCUUCGUGGAACUCAGCCCAAAAUAGCGUGAGUGAACUUCACCCACUCUGCAGAAUGAAAGCCGCUUUUCUCAUUCACAUCUUAUUAGAGACCCGUGUUUGAAAUUUGUUAUGCUUCUAUUUGUGUGGAGAAGAAAGUAUAUUUUAAAAGAACAUUAUAAUUAAUUAUGUAAAGGUAUUAAAAUGUAAUUUCCUUUUUAAUAUGUUAGGUAAUUUGAAGUAUUAUAUUAGCUGAUAACUGUAAAGUACAUAAGAUUUUUGUAGACUGAUAUGCUAUCAUAUUUUGUGCAUCUUUUUAAAAGUUGUAGUUGAAAAUCAUAAAUUCUUCUGAGGUUAUUUUCUGCAUAUUUUUGCAUAAAUUUUUUAAUAGUCAUGUUUUUGUGUUAUUUCAUAUUUAUACUUUAUGUGCUAUAAAUAUGAUCAAAACAAUAAAACCUACUAAAUUAACUUAAAAAUAAUGAUCAAACUGAGAGAUGACUGAGAAAGUAUGCAUUAAAAUUAUUUAUAUAAUUUAAUUACAAGCCCAGCUCUCGCCCAAGUGUUUCCUAUAGUGGCUGUGCUAAUACAUAUCUAUCUGCCGACACAUAACUGGCUAACAUUCAGAACUGAGCUAGCAAAUGAGCAAGAAGUCACCAUAUCUUCAAUGUAUAGGGUUUGACUACUUUGGAGAAAAAUCUACUGGUUCAAAAAUAAUUUUGUUAUAUCAUAAUGAUAAAGUCCGUUUUAAAACUCUGAUUUCAGUCUUUUUGAAAUUACUCUAUAGUUUUAAAAUAUUUGGUGCUAUAAUAAUAUGUAAUUAACAGUAAUAAUCUCCUUUAAAAAG
rnacentral:lncRNA from 1 species